GAGGAAGGUGGGGAUGACGUCAAGUCCUCAUGGCCCUUAUGUCGUGGGAUACACACGUGCUACAAUGGCGGUGACAGUGGGAAGCCAGGCAGAGAUGCCGAGCUGAUCCUCAAAAGCCGUCUCAGUUCGGAUUGCACUCUGCAACUCGGGUGCAUGAAGGUGGAAUCGCUAGUAAUCGUGGAUCAGCAUGCCACGGUGAAUACGUUCCCGGGCCUUGUACACACCGCCCGUCACACCAUGGGAUUUGGGAUUGACCUUAAGUUGGUGCGCUAACCGCAAGGAGGCAGCCAACCACGGUCGGGUUAGAGACUGGGGUGAAGUCGUAACAAGGUAGCCGUAA
rnacentral:rRNA from 1 species